UCCCUGGUGGUCCAGUAGCUAAGACUCCACACUCCCAACACAGGGGUCCCAGGUUCGAUCCCUGGUCAGGGAA
rnacentral:tRNA from 1 species